GGGCCGGUAGCUCAGUUAGGUAGAGCGCCAACGGUAGGCGUAAGUCUUAUAUGGCUAGCGCUCGUACACUAGGAUAACUGGUGGUCAAGGGUUCGAAUCCCUUCCGGCCCA
rnacentral:tRNA from 1 species